rnacentral:rRNA from 1 species
AGAGUUUGAUCCUGGCUCAGAAUAAACGCUGGCGGCGUGCCUAACACAUGCAAGUCGAGCGAGAAAGCUUCUUCGGAAGUGAGUAAAGCGGCGGACGGGUGAGUAACGCGUGAGAAUCUACCUUCUAGUGAAGAAUACCUUCGAGAAAUUGAGGUUAAUACUGCAUAAGUCCCUUCGGGGAGAAAGAUGGCCUCUUUGCU